ACAAGUGUUUGCAUAGAACGGGAUCCUGUCUUAACCACAGCAGCUGAUUUUCAAAUGGUGAAAUUCCUGGCACCACUGGAGUUGCUGAUCUCAAACCGGAGAAAGUUAGAAAUAGAUUCUUGCUUUUCUUUGCCUCCAACUUUUACAUGUGGUGUGAACUGAGUUUGAACGAGAAAAGUGACAGGAAAAAAAAAAACAAAAAACAAAAAACAACUGAGCGUCAGGAGCCCUGCGUCUGGUCUUAGUUCUGCCCCCCGGAUAACUGACUGCUUUUGCACAAUUCAGACUUCACGCUUCUUAUUUCCAUGCACAAAACAUCAGAACAAAUGAUUUCUUGUUUGGAUCCUUCAGAUAUGCAAGAUAUAAGAAGUGCGACAAGAUUUCCAAAGAUGACGCUGUACCCUGUACCUUCUGCUUUUUGACUGAUGCAGACACAGUCUAUGGUAAGAUUCAGCAUAAUACCCAAGGAG